rnacentral:rRNA from 1 species
UACGGAGGGUGCAAGCGUUAUCCGGAUUCACUGGGUUUAAAGGGUGCGUAGGCGGGCUUGUAAGUCCGUGGUGAAAUCUCAAAGCUUAACUUUGAAACUGCCAUGGAUACUAUAGGUCUUGAAUGUUGUGGAGGUUUGCGGAAUAUGUCAUGUAGCGGUGAAAUGCUUAGAUAUGACAUAGAACACCGAUUGCGAAGGCAGCAGGCUACACAAAUAUUGACGCUGAGGCACGAAAGCGUGGGGAUCAAACAGG